CCUACGGGAGGCUGCCGUAGGGAAUAUUGGUCCAUUGGGGAAACCCUGAUCCAGCUACGCCGCGUGAGUGAAGCAGUAUUUCGGUAUGUAAACCUCUUUCAUCAGGGAAGCUAAAAAUGCCAGUUCCUGACUAAGCAGCCCCUGCUUACGAAGUGCCAGCAGCCGCGGUAAUACGUGGGGGGCAAGCGUUAUCAGGAUUUACUGGGUGUAAGUGGAUCGUGGACGGGGAUGCAAGUCUGAAGUGAAAGGCGGGGGCCCAACCCAUGAACUGCUUUUGAAACUGUAUGGCUGGAGUGCAGGAGAGGUAAGUGGAAGUCCUAGUGUAGCGGUGAAAUGCGUAGAGAGUAGGAGGAACACCAGUGGAGAAGGCGGCUUACUGGAAUGUAACUGACGUUGAGGCGCGAAAGCGUGGGGAGCAAACAGGAUUAGAUACCCUGGUAGUC
rnacentral:rRNA from 1 species